rnacentral:misc_RNA from 1 species
UGUAGAAGUUCCAUCUACAAAUGGAUAAGACUUCUAUAUUAGUGUAUACGAUUUUUUGAAAAUGAAAAUAAAGGAGCAAUAAUAAUUUAUUAUUGCUCCUUUAUUUUCAUAAUAAAUUAUUAUUUGUUAGUCUUUUAUUUAACAUAAGUCUUUUUUUUCUUUACUUCUUCAUAUUUUUCGUUAUGUAGUAAUUUAUAUAUAUGUUUUUCUUAAUAUUUUAUUUUACAUUUUAAAUAAAAAAAAUAAAUAUAAAGGUUUCCAUUUAUUUUUUGUUGUAUUUGAUUGUAGAAGAAAAAAAAGAAAUAUGAAUGUUGUAAAUUGAAGUAGUUU